CGGGUAUUUUACUUGGUGGCGACCGGCGGACGGGUGAGUAAUGCCUAGGAAUCUCCCUGGUAGUGGGGGAUAACGCUCGGAAACGGACGCUAAUACCGCAUACGUCCUACGGGAGAAAGCAGGGGACCUUCGGGCCUUGCGCUAUCAGAUGAGCCUAGGUCGGAUUAGCUAGUUGGUGAGGUAAUGGCUCACCAAGGCGACGAUCCGUAACUGGUCUGAGAGGAUGAUCAGUCACACUGGAACUGAGACACGGUCCAGACUCCUACGGGAGGCAGCAGUGGGGAAUAUUGGACAAUGGGCGAAAGCCUGAUCCAGCCAUGCCGCGUGUGUGAAGAAGGUCUUCGGAUUGUAAAGCACUUUAAGUUGGGAGGAAGGGCAGUUACCU
rnacentral:rRNA from 1 species